rnacentral:miRNA from 1 species
UGCAGUCCAUGGGCAUAUACA